GUUUUACAGCUACUUUACUACGCCCCAGUUAAUUAUUCUAAACCGAGUGCGCAACAAUGACAGAAUUAAGAAAACCAUCAAAAUAGUAUGAUACUCCGUAUAAUAUUGGAAGAGUCAACUCGAACGCUUAUAGCUCAUCUGAACUGAACUGCACGAGGCAUUGUAAAAUGUGUUGCAUUGAUUUUUGACAGGCUGAUAAUUUUAUACAAGCUAAAGACGACCAUUUUUUAAAUAUAAUUUUACUUUAGUGCUCUACCAAAAAUCAUAAAUUUACUUUAUCUACAAUAAAAUAUGGUUUUAACUUAAAGUAAACUUUUGUCAUUUAAACUUUACUAUGUUGAUCAUUACCUAAUAGUGUAAAAAAAAAAUUAGUACGUCGCAAUCAAGGUUAGAAUAAUUUUUUUUUCUAUUCUGUUGCUGUUUGUUUUCUGCAAACAUUAAAUACUUUUUAGUUUUCAGGUUUUUUAGUUUUUCUAUACAUUGCAAAUUAGUUUCUAUGUUAUUGUUAAUAAAUUUCUUUAUUCUAUUUAGAAACAUUAGAAAAAUCAAAUGUUAAGCAAAGUGCCAUUAUAAUACAUUUCUGUUUUAUUAUGUC